UCGAGAAUCUUCGGCAAUGGGCGCAAGCCUGACCGAGCGACGCCGCGUGUGGGAUGAAGGCCUUCGGGUUGUAAACCACUGUCGAGGGGAUGACAUAGCCUCAGAGGAAGGACGGGCUAAGUUCGUGCCAGCAGCCGCGGUAAGACGAACCGUCCAAACGUUAUUCGGAAUCACUGGGCUUAAAGGGUGCGUAGGCGGCGCGGAAAGUUGGGUGUGAAAUCCCUCGGCUUAACCGAGGAACUGCGCCCAAAACUACCGUGCUCGAGGGAGAUAGAGGUGAGCGGAACUUAGGGUGGAGCGGUGAAAUGCGUUGAUAUCCUAAGGACACCGGUGGCGAAAGCGGCUCACUGGAUCUCUUCUGACGCUGAGGCACG
rnacentral:rRNA from 1 species